rnacentral:rRNA from 1 species
CCUACGGGAGGCAGCAGUGAGGAAUAUUGGUCAAUGGUCGGGAGACUGAACCAGCCAAGCCGCGUGAGGGAUGAAGGUACAGAGUAUCGUAAACCUCUUUUGUCAGGGAACAAAGGCGGGGACGUGUCCCCGGAUGAGUGUACCUGAAGAAAAAGCAUCGGCUAACUCCGUGCCAGCAGCCGCGGUAAUACGGAGGAUGCGAGCGUUAUCCGGAUUUAUUGGGUUUAAAGGGUGCGCAGGCGGUCUGUUAAGUCAGCGGUCAAAGCCCGGGGCUCAACCCCGGCCCGCCGUUGAAACUGGCAGUCGCGAGUUGGAGAGAAGUAUGCGGAAUGCGCGGUGUAGCGGUGAAAUGCAUAGAUAUCGCGCAGAACUCCGAUUGCGAAGGCAGCAUGCCGGCUCCACACUGACGCUGAGGCACGAAAGCGUGGGUAUCGAACAGGAGUAGAUACCCUUGUAGUC